CACAUGAUCAACUUGCCCUAUGGAGAAAAAUACCCUCGGGAAACUGAGGAUAAUGUUUCAUAGUUGAAUAGGCUUGGAAUAGUUUUUCACUGAAAGGGAAAAGAAAAAUGGUUCUUUUUUGCCAUAGGAUAGGAUCGUGGUCGAUUAUGGUUGUUGGUGAGGUAAUGGCUCACCAAGCCGAUAAUCGAUAGGGGCCGUGAGAGCGGGAGCCCCGAUAUGGGUACUGAGACGCCGACCCAGACCUUACGAGGUGCAGCAGGCGCGAGACCUCCGCAAUACACGAAAGUGUGACGGGGUUACCCAAAGUGUUCAUUAUUGAACUGUGGUAGGUGAGUAAUGUUCCCUACUACAAAGGAGAGGGCAAGGCUGGUGCCAGCCGCCGCGGUAAAACCAGCUCUUCAAGUGGUCGGGAUGAUUAUUGGGCUUAAAGUGUCCGUACCCGGUUUAGAAAGUUCCUGGUAAAAUCAGGUAGCUUAACUAUCUGUAUGCUAGGAAUACUACUAUA
rnacentral:rRNA from 1 species